AAGUCGUAACAAGGUUUCCGUAGGUGAACCUGCGGAAGGAUCAUUAUAGAGUUAGGGGCUCUGCCCCGAACCUCCCAACCCAUGAGAUCGAAAUCGUUGCCUCGGCGGGUCAGCCCCUGGGCCGUUGGCUUCGGCUGGCGAGCGCCCGCCGAUGGCCCGUUUUUACAAAUUCAAACCAUUUUACUCAAACCGCUCGCACCCUGUGCGAGAAAAUCAAAACCUAAAACUUUCAACAACGGAUCUCUUGGUUCUGGCAUCGAUGAAGAACGCAGCGAAAUGCGAUAAGUAAUGUGAAUUGCAGAAUUCAGUGAAUCAUCGAAUCUUUGAACGCACAUUGCGCCCUCUGGUAUUCCGGGGGGCACGCCUGUCCGAGCGUCAUCAAACCAAUCAAGCCCCGCUUGGUAUUGGGCCUCGCCCCGCGAAGGGCCUGCCCGGAUGACAGCGGCGCGGCCGCCGCGAGAAGAACGCACUGGAAAUUUUUUAAUUUAUUCGUUCUGGCCUCGCGACGUUCGUUGCCGACCGAACGGCCGAAAGGUCAGAUUUUGAAAAAUUGACCUCGGAUCAGGCGAGAUUACCCGCUGAACUUAA
rnacentral:rRNA from 1 species